GGUUUUCGGGUCAGAUUCCAUCUUCAAUUGGAAAUCUUUCACAGCUCACCUCUCUCUAUCUCUUUUCCAAUCAGUUUUCGGGUCAGAUUCCAUCUUCAAUUGGAAAUCUUUCACAGCUUACCUCUUUGGAUCUUUCUUCCAAUCAGUUUUCGGGUCAGAUUCCAUCAUCAAUUGGAAAUCUUUCACUGCUCACCUCUCUCUAUCUUUCUUUCAAUCAGUUUUCGGGUCAGAUUCCGUCUUCAAUUGAAAAUCUUUCACAGCUCACCUUUCUCAAACUUUAUUCCAAUCAGUUUUCGGGUCAGAUUUCAUCUUCAAUGGGAAAUCUUUCACUUCUUACCUCUCUUCAUCUUUCUUCCAAUCAGUUUUCGGGUGAGAUUCCAUCUUCAAUUGGAAAUCUUUCACAGCUUACCUCUCUUCAUCUUUCUUCCAAUCAGUUUUCGGGUCAGAUUCCGUCUUCAAUUAAAAAGCUCUCUCAUCUCGAAACUCUUGACCUCCGUAGUAACAGACUCACUGGUGAAAUCCCAG
rnacentral:lncRNA from 1 species